rnacentral:snRNA from 1 species
GUCUCUUCGCGAAUUAGCUAAAAA